AGAGUUUGAUCCUGGCUCAGAUUGAACGCUGGCGGCAGGCCUAACACAUGCAAGUCGAGCGGAUGAAGAGAGCUUGCUCUCUGAUUCAGCGGCGGACGGGUGAGUAAUGCCUAGGAAUCUGCCUGGUAGUGGGGGACAACGUUUCGAAAGGAACGCUAAUACCGCAUACGUCCUACGGGAGAAAGCAGGGGACCUUCGGGCCUUGCGCUAUCAGAUGAGCCUAGGUCGGAUUAGCUAGUUGGUGAGGUAAUGGCUCACCAAGGCGACGAUCCGUAACUGGUCUGAGAGGAUGAUCAGUCACACUGGAACUGAGACACGGCCCAGACUCCUACGGGAGGCAGCAGUGGGGAAUUUUGGACAAUGGGCGCAAGCCUGAUCCAGCAAUGCCGCGUGCAGGAAGAAGGCCUUCGGGUUGUAAACUGCUUUUGUCAGGGAAGAAAUCUUCUGGGCUAAUACCCCGGGAGGAUGACGGUACCUGAAGAAUAAGCACCGGCUAACUACGUGCCAGCAGCCGCGGUAAUACGUAGGGUGCGAGCGUUAAUCGGAAUUACUGGGCGUAAAGCGUGCGCAGGCGGUUAUGUAAGACAGAUGUGAAAUCCCCGGGCUCAACCUGGGACCUGCAUUUGUGACUGCAUCGCUAGAGUACGGUAGAGGGGGAUGGAAUUUCCUGUGUAGCGGUGAAAUGCGUAGAUAUCAGGAGGAAGGCCUGUGGUGAAGAUGGCCCUCUGGGCAAUGACUGACGCUGAGGCGCGAAAGCGUGGGUAGCAAACAGGAUUAGAUACCCUGGUAGUCC
rnacentral:rRNA from 1 species